rnacentral:rRNA from 1 species
GAUGAACGCUGGCGGCGUGCCUAAUACAUGCAAGUCGAGCGAACGGACGAGAAGCUUGCUUCUCUGAUGUUAGCGGCGGAGGGGUGAGUAACACGUGGAUAACCUACCUAUAAGACUGGGAUAACUUCGGGAAACCGGAGCUAAUACCGGAUAAUAUUUUGAACCGCAUGGGUCAAAAGAGAAAGACGGUGUUGCUGUAACUUAUAGAUGGAUACGCGCUGCAUUAGCUAGUUGGUAAGGUAACGGCUUACGAAGGCAACGAUGCAUAGCCGACCUGAGAGGGUGAUCGGCCACACUGGAACUGAGACACGGUCCAGACUCCUACGGGAGGCAGCAGUAGGGAAUCUUCCGCAAUGGGCGAAAGCCUGACGGAGCAACGCCGCGUGAGUGAUGAAGGUCUUCGGAUCGUAAAACUCUGUUAUUAGGGAAGAACAUAUGUGUAAGUAACUGUGCACAUCUUGACGGUACCUAAUCAGAAAGCCACGGCUAACUACGUG